rnacentral:lncRNA from 1 species
AGGCACGUAAUUGAAAGGUGGUUAUUUAAUUGGUUCCGUUCGUUUAUCUAGCCAAUUUAUUGGUAUCUAAGGAAAGCAACGGGGGGACCCCCACCAAUCUUCACUUACCUGGCCAAUUUGAAAGAUUGAGUCUCAAAUAUGAUUGCUUAGCAGUUUGAUUUAGCCCAUGCAAUUAGAUCAGUCAUAUGAUGACUAAUUAGAUGAGAUCUAAACUUAAAUCUCUCUAUAAAUAUCAAGUCCAAUGAUCUUCCAUCAUUGUAGAUGUGCGGACGUGCUAUCGGUAUUGAUUGUUCUCGGCUAGUUAUAGUGGUUUAGUUGCAUUGGGAUCAUACAAUCACUUUAUUAGCAAAGAAUUGCUCUAGAAUAAAGAUGAGAUUAGGUCCAAUAACUGGUAGGUGAGCAACCCAGUGAUGGCUCUAUACCUGCCUGUGAACGAUGGGUCUGACUUAACUAAGAAGUGCGGGCAAUAACUGUUAGGUGAACCCACAUGACUUAGAGAUCAAGUAGUUGCAACAUGCUUAGAGAAGCAUCUAGGUAAAGAGUUGUCCAUGCAUCGGUGUUUGUUCAUGUUACCAAUAAUUGUUAGGUGAGGUGCACGAUAUCGGUGGGACCGCAGCACCCACUUGAAAUUUAGUUGUUGCGUUAGGAUUUUUGUUUCUCCAUCCAAAGAGUUUGAG